AUUUCCAUUAUUUUCACUGCAUAAUGUGUCUCUGCUAUGUCAAAAAACCAAGCACUGGCGACCAAGAUAUUUUGCUAUUUCUUCACCUUGUCAAUGUUGCAUUUCAAUUCCUAAAAAUCUCUGGUAAGCAGCAUCUAUUGUUUUUCCUGAUCCAACUCUCAAGAGUUCAUUGCAUUCUCUCCCUCUCAAGAUGAGAGUUAAACAUUUCAU